GUACACUCCUACGGGAGGCAGCAGUGGGGAAUUUUGGACAAUGGGGGCAACCCUGAUCCAGCAAUGCCGCGUGAGUGAAGAAGGCCUUAGGGUUGUAAAGCUCUUUUGUCAGGGAAGAAACGGUAGUAGCGAAUAACUAUUACUAAUGACGGUACCUGAAGAAUAAGCACCGGCUAACUACGUGCCAGCAGCCGCGGUAAUACGUAGGGUGCAAGCGUUAAUCGGAAUUACUGGGCGUAAAGCGUGCGCAGGCGGUUGUGUAAGUCAGAUGUGAAAUCCCCGGGCUCAACCUGGGAAUUGCAUUUGAGACUGCACGGCUAGAGUGUGUCAGAGGGGGGUAGAAUUCCACGUGUAGCAGUGAAAUGCGUAGAUAUGUGGAGGAAUACCGAUGGCGAAGGCAGCCCCCUGGGAUAACACUGACGCUCAUGCACGAAAGCGUGGGGAGCAAACAGGAUUAGAUACCCCUGUAGUCCCA
rnacentral:rRNA from 1 species